rnacentral:rRNA from 1 species
GAUCAGAUACCGUCGUAGUCUCAACUAUAAACGAUGUCGACCAAAGGAUAGUAAACGUUACAUGGAUGACUUUAUUAUAAUUCUGUGAGAUCACAAGUAUUUGGACUCCGGGGGGAGUAUGGUCGCAAGGCUGAAACUUAAAGGAAUUGACGGAAGGGCACCACCAGGAGUGGAACCUGCGGUUUAAUUCGAAUUAGACCGUAAAAGUAGAUUAGUAAUAAUCCGCUAGUCACAGUAAUAGGUGGCAACACUAACAAAUUGCGGGAACACCCUAAAGCUCUAUCUACCGCGGUCUUACAGAAACGUAUAGAUGCAGCAGGUGGUAUAAUGACCACUGGAUGGUAAUAAUGGUAGAGAUAUCUUAGAUGGGCAAUCCGCAGCCAAGUCCUGAGGAAUUUAUACGAUUCUAUGGAUGCAGUUCACAGACUAAAUGUUAGUGGGCAAUAUCGGAUCUCAAGAUAUUGUUUAAGAUAUAGUCGGAUCGUAUACUAAAGUAUAUAUCUGGGGAGGAUUUUACAUCAUCUAUUACAAAAAAUGAUGGUUAGGAGAGCCUCAGAUUAUGAUAAAUCGUUUUAUCAUAGAAUAUUUCGUAAUUCGACUCAACCCGGGAAAACUUACCAGGUCCAGACACAGUAAGGAUUGACAGAUUGAUAGCUCUUUCUUGAUUUUUGUGUAAAGUGGUGCAUGGCCGUUUUUAGUUGGUGGAUUGAUUUGUCUGGUUAAUUCCGUUAACGAACGAGACCUUAACCUAUUAAAUAUGUUAUGUUAAAUCUUUAAUCGUAAUAACGGUUAAUAUUUAAUAUCAAACUUCUUAGAGGGACUCUUCACAUCUAGUGAAUGGAAGAUUGAGGCAACAACAGGUCUGUGAUGCCCUUCGAUGUUCUGGGAUACACGCGGGUUACAAUGAAACAGGCAUCGAGUACACCUAUUCUGAAGAGAUUAGGUAAUCUUUUUAAAAUGGUACCGUGAUCGGGCUAGAUCAUCGUAAUUAUUGAUCUUCAACGAGGAAUUCCUAGUAAGUGCAGGUCAUCAACCUGCGUUGAUUGCGUUCCUGCCCUUUGUACACACCGCCCGUC